AUUUCAUGAUACACCAUUAAGCACUUAGGUCGUGUUUUAUCACAUGUUCAUCACUCCUCUUGCCAUGUAAACAUCAUACACUUGUCACUUUGCAUAUUAUAAAUCUUUACUCAUAAUUAUGCAUCAAGGGGCAAAAAUAGAUUGUCUUAAAAAUGCAAAAUCAUUUGGAGGUUCAUUCUUGAAGCAAAAAAUUUUUAAAAUAAGCAUUCAGAAGAAAGCAAAUGCAGAAAAGAACUGGUGUUUAACUAGUGCAAUUUAUUAUGAAAUAUUUCCAUGCAAAUAUCACAAGCUUCCUUAUUGUCUCUCAAAAUAAAUAAAUAAAUAAAAUG
rnacentral:misc_RNA from 1 species